AUGGCUGCCGGAAGGUUGCUGCUCUACACGGGCCUCUCGCUAGCGCUCUGCGCCCUCGGCAUGCUGGCCGUGGCCAUCUGCUCCGACCACUGGUACGAAACGGACGCCAGGAAGCACAGGGACAGGUGCAAGGCCUUCAACACCCGCCGGGUGGACCCCGGCUUCAUUUACAACAACAACAACAACUUGCCGCUCCGGGCCAGCCGCUCGCGCCUGGACCGCUGGGAGGGCAAACUCCUCCGGGCCCGGAAUCGCCGGCAGCUCUUCGCCCUCAGCCCGGCCGAUGAGUGCAGCCGGCAGUACAACUCCACCAACAUGGGCCUCUGGAGGAAAUGCCACCGGCAUGGCUUCGACCCCGAGAUCGCCGCCCUCAUUCGGAAAGGAGAAAUUGAGCGAUGCACGUACAUCAAGUACCACUACUCCUCAGCAACCAUCCCCAGGAACCUCACGUUCAACAUCACAAAGACCAUCCGUCAGGACGAGUGGCAUGCCCUACGUAAGUACACCUCAGCCUCUUUGGCUGUGACUUGUGUGAUGUCACCUCUGGAGGGCAUGGGGGACUUGGAUACUGUGCCUUCUAGGAUCUGUGGACAGUCUCAGGACAUCGUGCUGGUCAGAAUUGCCUCGGUUAGUUUUGAUUGGAUUAUGGAUUUGGGGAGCUUCUAAAAAAAUACAGUAACACUCAAGCCAAUACUAACAGACAAAAUCAAGCCACUGGCAGUCACAUAAUAAUCUUAUUGCACUGUCCUGGUAGGCAUUUAUGGUUUCAC
rnacentral:lncRNA from 1 species